rnacentral:rRNA from 1 species
CUACGGGCGGCAGCAGUGAGGAAUAUUGCACAAUGGGGGGACCCUGAUGCAGCAACGCCGCGUGGAGGAUGACGCAUUUCGGUGUGUAAACUCCUUUUAUAUGUCAAGAAAAUGACGGUAGCAUAUGAAUAAGCACCGGCUAACUCCGUGCCAGCAGCCGCGGUAAUACGGAGGGUGCAAGCGUUACUCGGAAUCACUGGGCGUAAAGGACGCGUAGGCGGAUUGGAAAGUCAGGUGUGAAAUCCUACAGCUUAACUGUAGAACUGCACUUGAAACUUCUAAUCUAGAGUAUGGGAGGGGGAGAUGGAAUUAGUGGUGUAGGGGUAAAAUCCGUAGAUAUCACUAGGAAUACCUAAAGCGAAGGCGAUCUCCUGGAACAUUACUGACGCUAAGGCGUGAAAGCGUGGGGAGCAAACAGGAUUAGAUACCCGCGUAGUC